AGUGAACGCUGGCGGUAGGCCUAACACAUGCAAGUCGAACGGCAUCUCAUUAAGAGCUUGCUCUUACGGGUGGCGAGUGUCGGACUGGUGAGGAAUACAUUGGAAUCUACUUUUUCGUGGUGUAUAACUUAGGUAAACUUACGCUAAUACCGCAUACGACCUAUGGGUUAAAGCAGGGGCUUUUCUUACCUUGCGCGAUUUAAUGAGCCGAGGUCGGAUUCGCUAGUUGGCGGGGUAAUGGCCAACUAAGGCGACGACCCGUAGCUGGUCUGAGAGGAUGAACAGCCACACUGGAAGUGAGACACAGCCCAGACACCUAAGAGAGGCAGCAGUGGGGAAUAUUAGACGAUGGGCGCAAGCCUGAUACAGCAAAACCGCGUGGAUGAAGAAGGAGUUCGGGUUGGAAAACGAAGUUGUUGGGAGAAAAAAGCAGCAGGUUAAUACGCCGAUGUAAUGACGGUACCAAAAGAAUAAGCACCGGCUAACUUCGUG
rnacentral:rRNA from 1 species